AACGGAGAAUUGCAUCAGAAACUGGGAGACUUGAGUGCAGAAGAGGAGAGUGGAACUCCAUGUGUAGCGGUGAAAUGCGUAGAUAUAUGGAAGAACACCAGUGGCGAAAGCGGCUCUCUGGUCUGUAACUGACGCUGAGGUUCGAAAGCGUGGGUAGCAAAC
rnacentral:rRNA from 1 species